rnacentral:miRNA from 1 species
UACCAGGGCAGAGCGGGGCUGAUCAUCCCACAUCAGAGAGGGGGGAAGGGGCUGCCCAGUGAACCCUCACAGGGCUCUGCAUCUCCAGCUGGGCCUGGCUGGGGAUCCCAGAGUCCCUGAAGGCCCCCACCACCGGUCUGGUCUGUCUCUGCCCUGGCACCCAG